GCCGGAGUGAUGGAAUUGGCAGACGUGCGGGACUCAAAAUCCCGUGCCCUUCGGGGCGUGUGGGUUCGACUCCCACCUCCGGCA
rnacentral:tRNA from 1 species